rnacentral:rRNA from 1 species
CCUACAUGAAGUUGGAAUUGCUAGUAAUCGCAGAUCAGAAUGCUGCGGUGAAUACGUUCCCGGGCCUUGUACACACCGCCCGUCACACCAUGGGAGCCGGUAAUACCCGAAGUCAGUAGUCUAACCGCAAGGGGGACGCUGCCGAAGGUAGGAUUGGCGACUGGGGUGAAGUCGUAACAAGGUACC